UACGGAGGGUGCGAGCGUUGUCCGGAAUCACUGGGCGUAAAGGGCGCGUAGGUGGCCCGUCAAGCGCGCGGUGAAAGCCCGGGGCUCAACCCCGGGUCGGCCGUGCGGACUGGCGGGCUCGAGCACUGUAGGGGAGACUGGAAUUCCUGGUGUAGCGGUGAAAUUCGUAGAUAUUCGCAAGAACACCAGUGGCGAAGGCGGCUCACUGGCCCGAUACUGACGCUGAGGUGCGAAAGCGUGGGGAGCAAACAGG
rnacentral:rRNA from 1 species